CUGCUCUCUCUCUAAACAACCCCUCUCUCUCUCUUCUCCCCCUCUCUCUCUGAACUACGUACACCAAACCACCACCACCCCCACAUCAUCCCCAACCUCCGCCACCGUCGCCGCCAACACCACCGAUUUCCGGCCACCGCAACCACCAUCACUCUCCACUCCUCCAUCUCUUACACACACAUAGAGACACCCACAUCCUUCCUCUUCGAUUCAGCCGGCAACGACACCAUCAAACAACCUCAUUCGCCUCGUUUUUUCGGCGACUGGUUAUCCGGUGAACCACCACACGGCAGCAGCACCACCACCACUUGGUGGUGGCGGGCGGUACGACAUCAGCAGAGCCGCCAUGAGCGGCGGAGAGAGAGAGAGAUGCAUGAGAGAGAGGGAGAUCAAAGAGACGGAGCCGCGUUUCAGCGGCAGCGGCGGCGGAGCCGCGUAUCAGCAGCGGCGGCGGCAAGAGAGAGAUGCAUGAGAGAGAGGGAGAUCAAAGAGACGGAGCCGCGUUUCAGCGGCAGCGGCGGCGGAGCCGCGUAUCAGCAGCGGCGGCGGCAACCCUGUUCCGUUCGGGUUGUUUCUAUUUGGUUAAAAGCACUGUUAUUUUUUUAUGAUAAUAACUUUAGUGGCUGAAACUAAUUAUUUGACCCCUAAACCAUAACAUUAUUUUUUUUAUGUGUAGGUUCCCUAAGCACUGUUGGAGGAAGCAAAAGCAGCUGCUCAAGCAGCAUUGGAAGAAAUGGAUGCUGAUUAAUAAUAAUAUUAAAAUCCUUUCACAUUGUGUUUCAGCUUAAGAUAAUUAUCUAAGAUUUUAACAUUUCUGUUUUAUCAUAACACAAUUCAGAUUUUCAUUAUGCUGACUGCCUUGUUGACUUUUGCUUAUACCCAAAAUUCAGGUUUGUUUUCAUUGAUGAACUAAGACCAAAAUUGGUUUUAACAGAGCAGUACUCAGCGUAAAAUGAAGCCUAGAAAAAGUUGACAGAAGGUGAUGCUAAUAAGAGGUUCUCUACCUCUCUUUCCUGCCUCAAUGCUCUUACAUUAUCUAGAAUGUGUUUAGAUGAUGGUAAGAAGUUAUCAUGUGCUUUUGAUUUGAUUAGGAGCUCCCCGAAUCUGCAGACUCUUGUAAUCUUAGCAUGUGACCAGUAUGCUGGUCCGCCUCCACCUGUAGAGGACUACAAUAAAACUGGGCUGUUGCAGCUUCGAAGUGUUCAUUUUGAAUAUUAUACAGCUUCUGAGAAUGAAUUAUGUUUGAUAAAGUAUUUACUGGCGUGUUCCCCUUUCCUACAAAAGAUUGUUAUUGCUGGCUAUAACUUGGCCAUUGCAUCAGAUGAAAAGUUGACGUUUGCUAGGAAGUUGUUGAUGCUCCAUCGAGCCUCCCCAGUAGCUGAAAUAGAGCUCCUCUAGUUUUAGCUGUUUUGAACUUUCCGUGUGGAUUUAUGGCUCCAUUUUGUAAUAUGCUCUAGAUAGCGGCAAGGAGAAAUGAAAGACGUUUUUGUUAUUCAUCUAUGAAUUAUGGUGACGUUUGGUUC